AAUGGGAACAUGUAUACCUCCAGCCGGUUAAUACAAACUUUACAUGGACCCUGGGUUAACAAAAUUCAUUUGCCGCUCCUCCCUUUUUAUUUUAUCUCUCUCCCUCUUCUCCGACUCCCUCGCCUCCGUCGUUUCUCUCGCUGUAAUCUCUUCUCCAUCUCCGUCGAUCUAGCCUCUCUCUGACUCCCUCCCAAUCGACUCUCUCGCCUCCGUCUCUUUGUACCGUGUCUCCCUCACUGAAUCUCUCCCCUACAUCUCUGGCGAGAUCUCUCAGGCAUAUAACUCGGUAAUCAAGUCUCCUUUGAAGUGUUCAUAGCUUAGGUUAAGUCUGUUAAGUUGUCAUCAAGUAUCAUUAACGCGCCAAGCAAUAACUCUUGAAAGGUAUGUUUACAUGUAUUUUUCAGGCACCAUAUUCUUGAAUAUUUUACCAUUUUUUCAUAAUUGUCAAUAGCACUUCAAAAACAUUAGCUGUUUCUGGUGAAAGUUCUGUUGCAGGAAUUAGCUGAUGAUUUUAAUAUUUUAUUUUUUGUCAGGAAGGAUUUUAAUCUAAUUUGGAAGUGUUAGGGAGGAAUUUGGAAUUGGCAUUUUUCUUUUUGGAUAGUUGGGUCAAUUUCAUAUUUCUCUCCAUAACUAUCCUUGUAUUCCAGCUAUGCUUGUGAGAUGUGUCUUUAAACUUUUGGUCCCUGUGGAGCAUGAAUUAUAAAUAUAUAAGUUUGUUGGAUGAGUUUAUGUUCUCAAUUUUUCUUCCAAAUGACCCAUUUUUCCAAAGGAUGAAAAUUUUGCCUACUGGCCUUGAAAUGAACUUGGAACAUGAGUACUACCAUUCAACUGCAUACAGUUUCUCCAUAAAUAAGCUUUUUCAAAUGCUUGCAAGGACUCAUUCUUUCCUUUUACAAAAACGAGCCUGUCAUUUCUAAUAUAUUCACUUGUUUCUACGGUUUUAUUAUCGAAAACUCUUGCAUCAUGUGUGCUCAGCUCCUUAAACUUCUGUGGUGUUGUUCAAACCCCGUCAGUUUUAUCAUCUCAUUUCAUAUUUUACUCAUCAACAUCCUAACUUGUCUUGCUCAAUUUAGAUUACUACUCGGACUGUAGUAACACUACUGCUAUUAGAUUUUAAGUGUACAAAGUACUGCAGGAAGGAUGUAAUAAACAUUUUCACUCGUUUGUGUGGACAUCUCUGAACUAUUUUUCCUGGCUCAUUUAGAUUUUAGAGUUGCAAACUAUUGUUCAGACAUAGGGAAGUUGCUUGCACAUGUGUUUCUGAUUUUGCUUAAAUUUAUUUAUAUGAUCAGGUGCUCGCACAAUUGAAAAUUUGGAAUUGCUCUCUGUAACUCCUUCUCGAGCCGGCUAUACAAUUUUAGUGGAAGAGGAGAUCAAGAUCCUGCAUUAGACAGUGUGAAUAUACUUAUGUCGGAGCCGCUCUUGUAAUUACUUUGCUACUUUUGACGAAGGAAGAUUCUUGUUUUAAGAAAACUAAACACUGAUAUAAUGUUGUUGUUUGGAGCUGACCCAAAACUUUUAUUAUGUGUAAAAAGUUGAGAAAUUUAAUUGUUUAUUUUACUGUGCAUUAGAUUCUUAUAA